AGAGUUUGAUCCUGGCUCAGGACGAACGCUGGCGGCGUGCUUAAUACAUGCAAGUCGAACGGGGUCCAACCGGUGGCAACACCGGGGAAGACCUAGUGGCGAACGGGUGAGUAACACGUGAGCAACCUGCCCCGAAGACUGGGAUAACACCGGGAAACUGGUGCUAAUACCGGAUGCCCUCACCGGGCCGCAUGACCUGGUGAGGAAAUGAAUUUCGCUUCGGGAGGGGCUCGCGGGCUAUCAGCUUGUUGGUGGGGUAACGGCCCACCAAGGCAGCGACGGCUAGCUGGUCUGAGAGGACGACCAGCCACACUGGGACUGAGACACGGCCCAGACUCCUACGGGAGGCAGCAGUAGGGAAUCUUGCGCAAUGGGCGAAAGCCUGACGCAGCAACGCCGCGUGGGGGAUGAAGGCUCUCGGGUUGUAAACCCCUUUCAGCAGGGACGAAAUUGACGGUACCUGCAGAAGAAGCCCCGGCCAACUACGUGCCAGCAGCCGCGGUAAUACGUAGGGGGCGAGCGUUGUCCGGAUUCAUUGGGCGUAAAGAGCUCGUAGGCGGCUUGGCAAGUCGGAUGUGAAAACUCCAGGCUCAACCUGGAGCCGCCAUUCGAUACUGCUAUGGCUAGAGUCCGGUAGGGGAGUGUGGAAUUCCCGGUGUAGCGGUGAAAUGCGCAGAUAUCGGGAGGAACACCGAUGGCGAAGGCAGCACUCUGGGCCGGCACUGACGCUGAGGAGCGAAAGCGUGGGGAGCGAACAGGAUUAGAUACCCUAGUAGUCC
rnacentral:rRNA from 1 species